AUGAACGCUUGCGGCGUGCCUAAUACAUGCAAGUCGAGCGAACGGACGAGAAGCUUGCUUCUCUGAUGUUAGCGGCGGACGGGUGAGUAACACGUGGAUAACCUACCUAUAAGACUGGGAUAACUUCGGGAAACCGGAGCUAAUACCGGAUAAUAUUUUGAACCGCAUGGUUCAAAAGUGAAAGACGGUCUUGCUGUCACUUAUAGAUGGAUCCGCGCUGCAUUAGCUAGUUGGUAAGGUAACGGCUUACCAAGGCAACGAUGCAUAGCCGACCUGAGAGGGUGAUCGGCCACACUGGAACUGAGACACGGUCCAGACUCCUACGGGAGGCAGCAGUAGGGAAUCUUCCGCAAUGGGCGAAAGCCUGACGGAGCAACGCCGCGUGAGUGAUGAAGGUCUUCGGAUCGUAAAACUCUGUUAUUAGGGAAGAACAUAUGUGUAAGUAACUGUGCACAUCUUGACGGUACCUAAUCAGAAAGCCACGGCUAACUACGUG
rnacentral:rRNA from 1 species